UUUAUUUUUAUUUUUUAAGUUUAAGUUUGGUUUUAACUGCACCAUACACACGCUAGGCAAAGUGGCUAAAAUAGCUAACUGCAAACUUAUAAAAAUAAAUGUUAACAAAAAAAUUAAUAAUAAUAAAUAAAGUGGCUAAACUAGCUAAGACGUGAAAGAUAAAUUAAACAGCUUGACAUUUGCCAAAAAUAUUUAGAUUAAAAAAAACAAAAACACAAUGAAAUUCUGAAAUUCACCAGAAACAACAGUUGACUAGUCAGUGAGAAGACAAAGCAAGGCAGAACUGCAUUGUUGAAUUUAUUGUCUUCAUCAAAUUGGUCCAAACGGCUCCUUUACAGCCUCUAGAGAACAAGUCAUAACACAAUGAAAUAUGAAAUUGUGGACACAGAGGUUUAAAUCAGAAAGGGCCAGCUGAUACAAGUUGAUACGGUCUGGACGUGAAAAAGCUUCACCAAACGACCCACGGUCUGGUUUCACCUCCGCAGUACGAACGCAAAAGUCUGGAUCUUCAUUUCAGUCUGCAAAACUCUCAAAAGGAAACCAUCACAUCUUUUCUUGAACACAGUUUACAUACUGAUACAAAGCCACUGUUAAAACAUUGACUACAAAUAGCUUGGGUCUAAGCAGCGUGUGCUUAGUCUGAACCUGUAAAGUCACAGGGAGCUCUACUGCCCCCACUAUACUGCAAACAUUUUUUAUUUUUUAUAAAUAACUAAGAUCUGACUGUGUUGGUCAUGGCGGGUAUAAUAACUGGUAUGCAGCCACAUUGAGUUGGUCUUAGAAAAGAGGUAGCAAACUCACAUUCCAAAAUCACAACGUGGCUUAAAUCCUGCCCUGGCCUGUGUCUCUGUGCUUCUCUGACCCAGUCAAGUCAUGAACAACACCUGCUGGCAGGUACCUGUACUACAGUAGCACAGACUCUUGAAUUGUCUGUUCAUCCUUUUCUUUUCUCUUUCUUUUUUUUUUUCUUUUUAAACCGUCCCUUCAAAAUCACAA